rnacentral:rRNA from 1 species
UGGGGAAUAUUGCACAAUGGAGGGAACUCUGAUGCAGCGACGCCGCGCGAGUGAUGAAGGAUUUCGUUUCGUAAAACUCUGUUCUAUGGGAAGAAAAGGACUGUACCAUAGGAGAAAGCUCCGGCUAAAUACGUGCCAGCAGCCGCGGUAAUACGUAUGGAGCGAGCGUUGUCCGGAAUUAUUGGGCGUAAAGGGUGCGCAGGCGGCUUUACAAGUUGGAUGUGAAAUAUUGUGGCUCAACCACAAACGUGCAUCCAAAACUGCAAAGCUUGAGUUAAGGAGAGGUAAGUGGAAUUCCUGGUGUAGCGGUGGAAUGCGUAGAUAUCAGGAGGAAUACCGGUGGCGAAGGCGACUUACUGGACUUAAACUGACGCUCAGGCACGAAAGCGUGGGGAGCAAACAGG